rnacentral:rRNA from 1 species
CCUACGGGAGGCAGCAGUGGGGAAUAUUGCACAAUGGGCGAAAGCCUGAUGCAGCGACGCCGCGUGGGGGAUGACGGUCUUCGGAUUGUAAACCCCUUUCAGUAGGGACGAAGCGCAAGUGACGGUACCUGCAGAAGAAGCACCGGCUAACUACGUGCCAGCAGCCGCGGUAAUACGUAGGGUGCGAGCGUUGUCCGGAAUUACUGGGCGUAAAGAGCUCGUAGGCGGUUUGUCACGUCGUCUGUGAAAUCCCUCGGCUUAACCGGGGGCGUGCAGGCGAUACGGGCAGACUUGAGUACUACAGGGGAGACUGGAAUUCCUGGUGUAGCGGUGAAAUGCGCAGAUAUCAGGAGGAACACCGGUGGCGAAGGCGGGUCUCUGGGUAGUAACUGACGCUGAGGAGCGAAAGCAUGGGUAGCGAACAGGAUUAGAUACCCUGGUAGUCCAUGCCGUAAACGGUGGGCGCUAGGUGUGGGGUCCUUCCACGGACUCCGUGCCGUAGCUAACGCAUUAAG